AUCCAGUUGAUGAGUCCCAAAUAGGACGAAGUGUCAUGUGUCCUGGAU
rnacentral:hammerhead_ribozyme from 1 species